rnacentral:tRNA from 1 species
CGCUAAGAAGCUAAGACGGGCCUAUAGCGUUAGCCUUUUAAGCUAAAGACCGGUGUUUCCCAACCACCCUUAGCGG